GAGGGUUUGGCGCCGUGGGCGACGCUGGUGGUGAAGGCAGAAACAGCGUCAUCGACUUGGAUGGCGACGGCGCGGACGCCGAGGCCGUGGCGGGAGGAGAAGUCCCGGGAAGCGGAGUGGUCGAAGGUGGGGAUGGAGGCGGUGGAGUUGUUGGGCCUGGUCGGAUCAUCGGUCCGGGUCAGGGUGGGGGAGUACGGGGCGGUGAAGAGGAAGUUGAGGUCGCCGGAGCGGAGGAGGUAGGAGGCAUGGGUUUGAUUGCCUGUGGAGAGGUCUGAUUUGGCUACCAUGGGCAUGCCGAGGCCCCACGAGAAUCGGAGGGCGGAGUUGGUGGCGUCGGUGCACCAGAACUCGACGUGGUGGAACCG
rnacentral:lncRNA from 1 species